GCAUGCGGCAGCUAUAAUGCAGACGAACGGCAAGAUUCUUAGCAAUAAAGAUCCUAGAGUGUCGUAAGGGUGCGUAACACGUAUGCAAUCUGCCCUCAACAGGAGGAUAGCUCCCCGAAAGGGGAAUUAACACUCCAUAAGAUCAUGGUGCGGCAUCGCACAGUGAUUAAAACUACGGUGGUUGAGGAUGAGCAUGCGCAUGAUUAGUUAGUUGGCGGGGUAAUGGCCCACCAAGACGAUGAUCAUUAGGGGAACUGAGAGGUUGAUCCCCCACACUGGCACUGAGAUACGGGCCAGACUCCUACGGGAGGCAGCAGUAGGGAAUAUUGGACAAUGGGUGCGAGCCUGAUCCAGCCAUGCCGCGUGCAGGAAGACGGCCUUCUGGGUUGUAAACUGCUUUUGCCAGGGGAUAAAACGUCCAUGCGUGGAUAAUUGAAGGUACCUGGUGAAUAAGCCACGGCUAACUACGUGCCAGCAGCCGCGGUAAUACGUAGGUGGCAAGCGUUGUCCGGAUUUAUUGGGUUUAAAGGGUGCGUAGGCGGUUUUAUAAGUCAGUGGUGAAAUACAAUAGCUUAACUAUUGAGGUGCCAUUGAUACUGUAAGACUUGAGUACAGACGAGGUAGGCGGAAUUGACGGUGUAGCGGUGAAAUGCUUAGAUAUCGUCAAGAACACCGAUAGCGAAGGCAGCUUACUAGACUGUAACUGACGCUGAGGCACGAAAGUGUGGGGAUCAAACAGGAUUAGAUACCCUGGUAGUCCACACUGUAAACGAUGAUUACUCGAUGUUGGCGAUACACAGCCAGCGUCUUAGCGAAAGCGAUAAGUAAUCCACCUGGGGAGUACGCCCGCAAGGGUGAAACUCAAAGGAAUUGACGG
rnacentral:rRNA from 1 species